ACGGAAUAUCGACUCGGAAUAUGUUUCCAUGAUGCUCUGUAAUUAAUCAAUAAAGAUAAGCAUCGGAGAAGGUGAGAAAAGGUUGCGGAGCGCUGCACUAAGAGACUCUGACGAGACACACUAGACACUGACUGGCGAUCAACUCACUAGACUAGGCGCUGACUGACUCUCCGCGUCUGGCCUGCGUUCGAGAUCAUUCUGGCCCAAACCGGAAACUGAAGAUGCUCUGUUUCUUGCCAAGGAAGAGAGUUAAAACUGCGGGAAGGUACGAGGUGAGGAAUUCCGUGAAGGUCCAGCGUUGGUGGAGAACUGAGACAGAAGAAAAGAAAUACAUAUCUAGAAACCAUUAAAACAUUUUGAAACAUUAGAAACAUUUUGCUCCAAAACCAUUAAAAGCUGCCACCAUAAAUUAAUUAGAACGAGUUUUGUAUUAGGUUUGCUCCAUUCCAGUCGAUCAACAACUUUACACUUCGAAUAAAAUAUUACCCAUCUAUGGGUUAUGUUUGAAACAGGUUCUUCAACGUUCAUCCAUCAGAAAUCUAAAAAGUGAUAUAAC